GACGAACGCUGGCGGCGUGCUUAACACAUGCAAGUCGAACGGAAAGGCCCUGCUUUUGUGGGGUGCUCGAGUGACGAACGGGUGAGUAACACGUGAGUAACCUGCCCUUGACUUUGGGAUAACUUCAGGAAACUGGGGCUAAUACCGGAUAGGAGCUCCUGCUGCAUGGUGGGGGUUGGAAAGUUUCGGCGGUUGGGGAUGGACUCGCGGCUUAUCAGCUUGUUGGUGGGGUAGUGGCUUACCAAGGCUUUGACGGGUAGCCGGCCUGAGAGGGUGACCGGCCACAUUGGGACUGAGAUACGGCCCAGACUCCUACGGGAGGCAGCAGUGGGGAAUAUUGCACAAUGGGCGGAAGCCUGAUGCAGCAACGCCGCGUGCGGGAUGACGGCCUUCGGGUUGUAAACCGCUUUCGCCUGUGACGAAGCGUGAGUGACGGUAAUGGGUAAAGAAGCACCGGCUAACUACGUGCCAGCAGCCGCGGUGAUACGUAGGGUGCGAGCGUUGUCCGAAUUUAUUGGGCGUAAAGGGCUCGUAGGUGGUUGAUCGCGUCGGAAGUGUAAUCUUGGGGCUUAACCCUGAGCGUGCUUUCGAUACGGGUUGACUUGAGGAAGGUAGGGGAGAAUGGAAUUCCUGGUGGAGCGGUGGAAUGCGCAGAUAUCAGGAGGAACACCAGUGGCGAAGGCGGUUCUCUGGGCCUUUCCUGACGCUGAGGAGCGAAAGCGUGGGGAGCGAACAGGCUUAGAUACCCUGGUUGUCCACGCUGUAAACGGUGGGUACUAGGUGUGGGGUCCAUUCCACGGGUUCCGUGCCGUAGCUAACGCUUUAAGUACCCCGCCUGGGGAGUACGGCCGCAAGGCUAAAACUCAAAGGAAUUGACGGGGCCCCGCACAAGCGGCGGAGCAUGCGGAUUAAUUCGAUGCAACGCGUAGAACCUUACCUGGGUUUGACAUGGAUCGGGAGUGCUCAGAGAUGGGUGUGCCUCUUUUGGGGUCGGUUCACAGGUGGUGCAUGGCUGUCGUCAGCUCGUGUCGUGAGAUGUUGGGUUAAGUCCCGCAACGAGCGCAACCCUUGUUCACUGUUGCCAGCACGUUAUGGUGGGGACUCAGUGGAGACCGCCGGGGUCAACUCGGAGGAAGGUGGGGAUGACGUCAAGUCAUCAUGCCCCUUAUGUCCAGGGCUUCACGCAUGCUACAAUGGCUGGUACAGAGAGUGGCGAGCCUGUGAGGGUGAGCGAAUCUCGGAAAGCCGGUCUCAGUUCGGAUUGGGGUCUGCAACUCGACCUCAUGAAGUCGGAGUCGCUAGUAAUCGCAGAUCAGCAACGCUGCGGUGAAUACGUUCCCGGGGCU
rnacentral:rRNA from 1 species